rnacentral:rRNA from 1 species
UACGAAGGGGGCGAGCGUUGUUCGGAUUUACUGGGCGUAAAGGGCGCGCAGGCGGCUAUUCAAGUCAGGCGUGAAAGCCCCGGGCUUAACCUGGGAACUGCGUCUGGGACUGGGUGGCUAGAGAUCGGGAGAGGAGAGUGGAAUUCCUGGUGUAGCGGUGAAAUGCGCAGAUAUCAGGAAGAACACCAAUGGCGAAGGCAGCUCUCUGGGACGGUACUGACGCUGAGACGCGAAAGCGUGGGGAGCGAACAGG